rnacentral:lncRNA from 1 species
CUCAUAAACAUUCAAUUUCCCACUAAAAGUAGCCUGCGAACAGGCUCACUGGGAGAAAGGUGAGCCUGCACGGAACCAUGCGUUUUAUUCAUUCAUCCCCUUUUCGGGUUAUCAUUCCAUGUUUCGCGCACCAAUAUAGGUUACGGUUAGGUAUUGGAGUUAGGGGUUAGGUUAGGGGUUAGGUUUAGGGUUGGGGUUAGGGUUAGGGUGUGUAUAUAUGUGUAUGGAGGUAUCUAGUGAACUUUUCAAUACACUAUGAUAUCCGUUACAUAACGUUUACUAUAUUGGUGCGCGAAACCACGGUUAAUAGAAUUAGAUGGUUAGGCUAGCUGGACCACGUGACAAAUAUGUUAUUGUUCAUUUUUAUUUUUGGUCACGUGACGAGGAAAGGGGGUGCUUUGUGAUGAGUGAUUAGAAAAACAUAUGAGUGAGAACAUAAUACGCCAACAAAAGAUCAUAUUUCAAAGCGCUAGAGGGCUUCUGAGAUCAAGAUGGAAAUUGAAACAGAAAGCGAACAAACAUACGAACCUAGUUUGAACGUUGGAGAUGAAAAUAUCGAAGAAAGCGAGCGUCGUGAACAGUUUAUGAUCGAGGGGACGAAGGCUUUGUUUAUACACCGCGUUUGGAUAAUUGUAUUUUUGCCGUUGUUUUAAUAUGUCAGGAUACGGUUAAACGUUUGAAGUAAUAUUGAACAGUAUGGUUGGCUCUUCUAAUUGUGCUUUGUAUGCCUGUCCGACCAGCAGAACGCGUGAAUUUGCAAUUUUUAAAAUCCCUGUUGUUGGCGCAGCCGAUGUAGUCUGCGUAGGAGACUACAGCCGAUGGUGAACAAGAAGAGAAAUGCUCGCGAAGAAUGGCUUCGAAUUGUUUUAAAGGACUAGAGAAAAGACGGUAGAUCUUCAGAAACAAAUAAGAUUUGUGAGCGUCAUUUGAAGCCAUUGUAAAUUUUGCAUUUUAUGCAUGCGCUUGUGUGAUCAGAUGUAAAGAAAGAGGGCAUUGUAUUUGCAUAUUUACAUAUCCCAUGUCUAUUAAAUAUCUAUCUUCUGUAGACCCCAAACGAAAGAUUUUAUAACUGGUAGCGUACCUACAAUAAACACGAAGUUCCCAAGGCUGAGCGUCGCAUUCUCAACGUAUAAAUACCAGAUAAACAACCUACGAAUUACACACGUUUAUAGUUCAGUGGCUGGCGAGGUGGCUGGUGUGUCCAGUAUUGAAAUUAAAACUGAUGGCAGAUUUAGAUAAUAUGCAAAUAUGGAAAGUAGAAGAAAUUCAAGAUAACCUAGGAGGUCCAAGGCUCAAAAAGCAAUUUAAAAUGCAAAAAAAAACUUAAGUUUUUCACUAUCAUAUGAAAAUGGUUUAUGCUUGUUUUGUUCCAAAAGUGGUAUAUUGCAUGUAAAUAUUUUUUGUGGUCACUUGAUUUUCAUACCAAGAUUGGUGAAUUAAAGGCCAUGAUAUUAUAUUAUCUGGUAUUCAACAGAAAUAAAGUCAAAUCAGGGUACAUCAAAGUUUUAAUGGGUUAAUUAGGGGCUGAUUACAUGGAGCAUUUUCAACCCUGGGGUUGUCUCCUACAGAUCUACAGUUGGGACCUACGAGGCCUGGGCUGAACCCUCGCCCUUGUCUGUAAUACAAAAUGCUAUCAAAAUCAAAUGCAUGAUUUCAAAAUUUUCAAUUCAGGGCCAAGUUCAACCCCGCUUCAGCUAGCAGAGUUAAAUUUCAACCCCAGGUUGGACUUUGCCUUGGGUUGAAAAUUUUAUCAUGUAAUCGUUUCAACCCAGGGCUGAAAUUAUUCAUGAGUUACUCAAGCAUUUGAUGAGGCUGGUUUUUGUUUUCACUUCCAGGAAUGUAUAGUAUUUCAACCCUGGGGAUGAGAUUGUCCAUGUAAUCGCAAAAUAUUCAACCCAGUUAUGUAAACAUGGUUGAGUUCAAACCUGUGGUUAAAAGUGCUCCAUGUAAUCGUCCCCUUAGUGUGGUGUGAUCCGCCUACUGUGGGGCAGGGCUGUACUGAAUGGUGGCAGAUUACCAUAAUUAAAUCACUUCUAUUUCGACCAGCCAAGAAGGUUUAAUUAAAAUCAACAUACAAUAAUUAUUGUAUAAUAUAUGAUAAAAUUAUUGAAUUAUGGAAACAGUGUUCUGAACUUCUGUCAAUCUUUAACAAUUAAGAAGUUUAUCAAGUUUUAUAUGUUAUCGCAUCCCCUUUCUCAAUCACUCAAUGCCUUUUCGUUGACUGCCUUUCAUUAAUUAAUGCUAUACUUUAAAGAUGCGGUACAGUCCGUAUGUAAACAAAGGCUUUGUUUACAUUUCGGUAUCCAAAAUAUUGAAUUUUAUUUCACAACUAGUUAUAUUUUCAUGAUUCUAGAAAUUAUCAAGAGACAACAUUCAAGCUUUGCAAGAACAUAAAAUGAAAUAAAAACCUAAAUAAACUGUUUGUAAAUAAAAAGAGGGCUCCUUUGUGCACAUGCACAGAUUGGACUGUACAUGCCGCAUCUUUAAUAGUAAUAAAGUCUCUGGUGUAGGAAAAUGCUCCGACUGUUAAAUAAAGUUUAACUAUAUUUUCCGUACAGUUUCUGUGCAGAGCUCGAGGGUUGAACUUCACGAAAAAUCACAGCAUUUUCCAACAAUGCCGACAUUCUGCUGGUGUAGUGUUUUAUAAAAAUCAGAUCAAAUAUGCUCAGGAAUAUAUUUGCUACUUUAUAGUUCUCACAAUUUUAUAGCUGCUCACACAAACGAGGAAUCAAGCCAUAUAAAAACAUUCUAAAAGUUUAUCUUGAUUGUUCCUUGGACAGAAUAUUGUGUAAAGUGGCCAUGCAAAGCAUCGAACAAAGCAUCAGUAGAGGAAACAGUAGCCAAACUGACCUGAAUCGAUGUAAUAUAAUCAAACCACGUCCUCUAAAUAUAGUCAACGCAGCACGAGUUUUGUCUCUCCCUUUAGACUUGCACACUAUCUCUCACUGACUAAAAGGAAAAACCCUCUCGCCAUCAAUUUCUUGUAUAGCUUCGGUGAAUUCAGCGUCUGUUUCGUCUAACUGUAUUCCCGUUAAUAGAGCAACAGACACAUCAACGUUGUAUAAAUCCUCUGCGGUUGCAUCGUCUUGCGAUAAAUGUCUUCGUCCUCUUAUGCCUCGAUCAUAAACUGUUCACGACGCUCGCUUUCUUCGAUAUUUUCAUCUCCAACGUUCAAAAUAGGUUCGUAUGUUUGUUCGCUUUCUGUUUCAAUUUCCACCUUGAUCUCAGAAGCCCUAUAGCGUUUUGAAAUAUGAUCUUUUGUUGGCAUAUUAUGUUCUCGCCCAUAUGUUUCCC